UAGUCCACGCCGUAAACGAUGUCAACUAGCCGUUGGGAGUUGUCCCAGUGCUGUAGCAAACGCGUUAAGUUAUCCACCUGAGGAGUACGGUCGCAAGAUUAAAACUCAAAGGAAUAGACGGGACCCACACAAGCAGUGGAUCACGUGGUUUAAUUCGACAAUAAACGGGGAAUCUUACCCAGACUUGACAUCCUGAGAAUCUUUUAGAAAUAAAAGAGUGCCUUUACGGGAACUCAGUGACAGGUGCUGCAUGGUUGUCGUCAGCUCGUGCCUUGAGGUGUUCGGUUAAGUCCGUUAACGAGCGCAACCCAUGUCGUUAGUUAUUAUGUCUAACGAGACUGCCUUGGUUAACAAGGAGGAAGGUGUGGAUGACGUCAAAUCAGCAUGGCUUUUACGUCUGGGGCUACACACAUGAUACAAUGGUACGUACAAAGAGCAGCGAUAUCGCGAGAUGGAGCUAAUCUUCAAAACGUAUCUCAGUCCGGAUUGGAGUCUGAAACUCGACUCC
rnacentral:rRNA from 1 species